UACGGAGGGCGCAAGCGUUGUUCGGAAUCAUUGGGCGUAAAGCGCGUGUAGGCGGCUUGGCAAGUCGGAUGUGAAAGCCCGGGGCCCAACCCCGGAAUGUCAUUCGAUACUGCUUCGCUCGAGUCCCGGAGAGGAGAGCGGAAUUCCCGGUGUAGGGGUGAAAUCCGUAGAUAUCGGGAGGAACACCAGCGGCGAAGGCGGCUCUCUGGACGGUGACUGACGCUGAGACGCGAAAGCGUGGGGAGCAAAC
rnacentral:rRNA from 1 species